rnacentral:rRNA from 1 species
ACUCCUACGGGAGGCAGCAGUGGGGAAUUUUGCGCAAUGGGGGAAACCCUGACGCAGCAACGCCGCGUGGAGGAUGAAGCCCCUUGGGGUGUAAACUCCUUUCGACCGGGACGAUAA